CUGACGCCGCUCUAGUUCCUCUCCCUGUCGUUCCUUCUGCUCCUGUUCCCCUCCCGCCUUCACCCUCUGCCAUAUCACCCUCUUCCCUUGCCAUUACCUCUACUCCUGCACCUUCCUCUCCUCUCCCCACCACCCCUUCUGUCCGAGUUUCAGAUUCCCCUCCCCUUCCCACCUCCAAUCCUGUUGUCCCUCCCUCCUUUGAUCUUUCGUCACUCAUCUCUGCCCUCUCCGCUCAUCUCCCUCAGCCUACUCAGCCCGCCCCCCUCACCCAGUCCAGCUGCGGUCUCCACUUCCCUCAUGGCAACUCCCAGUUACCCAAUCAUGAUCGUUGGGUCGAAUGAAUCUUCCGUGUCGGGACAACCUCAUGCUGUAGGCGCUUCUUCCAUCCCACUACCUCCCAGUUAGUUACUCCCCAGGCCAUCCCUGUCGGUUCUCCCGGCUCCGAUGCUCCAGCCGCUCAAGCCCCUAAUUCACCAGAUGUUGCCAGCUAUCAUGGUCUCCCAUUCCCGGUUGCCCCCGAGGAUGACAAUGUGCAGGGGCUUAGCCCAUUCCGUCCUUCGAAUAAUAGGGUUUCCCAGAGACAGGCCACCCCAACCAACCACAUCCCUGCUCUAUCAACAGUGGAAGGGGCUCCCCCGAUGUAUGUUACUUUCAACCCAUCCCAAGCUGCAACCCUAGUAACCUCUCUCCCUGA